UACGUAUGGUGCAAGCGUUAUCCGGAUUUACUGGGUGUAAAGGGAGCGCAGGCGGCACGGCAAGCCUGAUGUGAAAGCCCGCGGCCCAACCGCGGGACUGCAUUGGGAACUACCGGGCUGGAGUGCCGGAGAGGUAGGCGGAAUUCCUAGUGUAGCGGUGAAAUGCGUAGAUAUUAGGAAGAACACCAGUGGCGAAGGCGGCCUACUGGACGGUGACUGACGCUGAGGCUCGAAAGCGUGGGGAGCAAACAGG
rnacentral:rRNA from 1 species